rnacentral:rRNA from 1 species
UNNNACGAACGCUGGCGGCAGGCCUAACACAUGCAAGUCGAGCGGACCUUCGGGUCAGCGGCGGACGGGUGAGUAACGCGUGGGAACGUGCCAAAGGGUACGGAAUAGCCCAGGGAAACUUGGAUUAAUACCGUAUAAUGUCUUCGGACCAAAGGUUUAUCGCCCUUUGAUCGGCCCGCGUUGGAUUAGGUAGUUGGUGGGGUAAAAGCCUACCAAGCCGACGAUCCAUAGCUGGUUUGAGAGGAUGAUCAGCCACACUGGGACUGAGACACGGCCCAGACUCCUACGGGAGGCAGCAGUGGGGAAUCUUAGACAAUGGGGGAAACCCUGAUCUAGCCAUGCCGCGUGAGCGAUGACGGCCUUAGGGUUGUAAAGCUCUUUCACCGGUGACGAUAAUGACGGUAGCCGGGGAAGAAGCCCCGGCUAACUCCGUGCCAGCAGCCGCGGUAAUACGGAGGGGGCUAGCGUUGUUCGGAAUUACUGGGCGUAAAGCGCGCGUAGGCGGAUUGUUAAGUUAGGGGUGAAAUCCCGGGGCUCAACCUCGGAACUGCCCUUGAUACUGGCAAUCUAGAGAUCGGAAGAGGCGAGUGGAAUACCGAGUGUAGAGGUGAAAUUCAUA